rnacentral:lncRNA from 1 species
UUUGCUCCUUCUGAAGCCUCUAUAUAUGAAGGGUUAUUUAUUGUGGCACUAGCACUUGCUAAAACUUAAUGGGAAAAAAAUAUUGUAAGCAUCACCAUGGUAUUUGUCACAGUUGCAAGUAAUAAUUUUGUUUCCAAAAUCUGUCUGCUCAUUCUUCUUCUUUUUCCUCCCCCCCCCCUUUUUUUUUUCUUCAGAAAAGAUGCCCUGCUGAUAUGAAAAUUGCAUAUGCUGCACUUGGAUGGACAGAUUAAAAACACCCAGAACCAAGCUUAUUCAUGGAGGAACCAGGUGAAAUUUCCUAUUCAGAUACUGCUCAGGAGAAAUAUGUUCCAAGUGACAGCAUCUUUGACAACUUGUACUUUUUGUUCUACCUUUUGUUCUUCUUCCUGUGAAAAGCCAUGUGAUGAAGAUUGCUGGAGAACAUUGAUACCUUCCCUACU